UUAAAUUGAAGAGUUUGAUCAUGGCUCAGAUUGAACGCUGGCGGCAGGCCUAACACAUGCAAGUCGAACGGUAACAGGAAGAAGCUUGCUUCUUUGCUGACGAGUGGCGGACGGGUGAGUAAUGUCUGGGAAACUGCCUGAUGGAGGGGGAUAACUACUGGAAACGGUAGCUAAUACCGCAUAACGUCGCA
rnacentral:rRNA from 2 species